UGGAAUUCAGCAUCUGGUCCCCCAGCGUCAUGUGGACCUGGGCCUCCCAGACCGGGAACACUCCAUCCAAGGAGCAGUUCACAGCGGUCUCUUUACCCACCUCCAAGAUACGAGGAGCGGAAAUGGAAGUUCCAGGAGGGCAGGGCUUUUUGUCUGACUUGCUCAGUCUUGUGUCCUCAACACCCAGAACCUGUGCCAGCACACAGCAGGUACUCAAUAAAUGUUUGUGGGAUGAAGCCAUCGCAGGAUGCAAAGACUCCCCUGCCCGCAGAUGUCUGGGAUAUUUUUACCCUCCAUGAGGUGCCCUUGCCCCAUUCCCAGACACCUGAUCUUUUUAGCCACCUCCUCCAGGGAGACACCGCGGUGGAGAGCAAGGUGGCAGAGGUGCAGAAAAGCCAUGCCCAGGCUCUCAUUCUUAAAGUGGUGGAUCUCCUCCUCGCUGGACAGCUCCCACAGUGAGGCCACGUCAUUGACAAACUCAUGCUUGCCCUGGGGGUGGGAGAAUCAGCAGAAAGGGAGGUAUGAGGUCCUGUUCACUCCCCUUCAGGACACCUUGGGGAGGGGAAGGACGAUUGUGUGGAAAGGGCAAACACAAAGCAUGCACACGUCCUCUGCCCAAUCCUGUGCCCAUGGCAGACAUCACUAAUCAAUCACAGCACUCUUUCCCAUGCAACUCUUAGAGUCCCAGAAUAGGCAAAGAUUCCUGGAUGGCAUGAGUUGAAAUCUACUGUCAGUACUGAAUUGGGGAGUGAAGUGGGGGUUCCUCAAUGGCUCAUGAGGCCCCCCCAAAUAGUCCCGCCCCCCAGCCCUGCUCACACCUGCUCAAAGAUAUAUUCAAAGGAGGCUGGAUCUAAGAAUUGCAGCCCAUGCUCUGCUUGAUCUGAGGAAGACUCGGCCCCAGGGGGCCCACAGCGGUACACAGCUGGCUCCUGAGGGUUCAUGCCAUGCCAGUUCCGGAAAUAAAACCUGUAGGUAAGGAGGAGCAGGGCUGGGGCUCUGAGUGCUAUCUCACUGCCCUGCUUCCAAAGCCACUGCCCAGGCAAUGGAAACAGGGGUCAGCACAGCUUCAGCUCAGCUCAAGGAAGGGGAGCGACAGGGACAAAAGAGGACAAGCCUCCCCAGGGUUCUUUGCCUACCUCAUGCGGAAGUGCAGAUUCAGGCUGGAGUCUCUGGGGACCUCCAGGAUGUGGUUUGGGGGUAGCCAGACUUGGCCCUGGGCAUCAAAGAGGGCGAACAGAUUGAAGCAGAGUGGAGUGAUGCCUGGGACAGGGGAAAAAUGAGGCUACAAGUCAAGUCUCCUGCUGCCAUCAGCCCCACGAGCCCCCAGACCCUCCGCCUCCCUUCACAUGCCCUACCUGGACCUCCUCCCCUGCCUACAGAUUCAGUUUACGUUGCUCAUGGGGCAGAAGACAGGGCAGUGUGUUGACCAUACUGUGGCCUCACAGGAAGACAUUUCCCAGCCUCCCUUGUAGCUAGGUUGGAGCCAUUGGACUGGUUUCAGGACAAUGGGAUGUGGGCAGAAAGGAUGAGCACAUUUCCAGUGGAUCAAUAAGCCCUCCUGCCAUCUUCCCUGCCCCAGGAAUGUUGGAGGCCCCUUGUGCCAGGUGGCAAAGCUACAAGAGAUAUAAAAGAGCAGAUUAAGCAAGCAGUGACUGGUGAAAAUAGAUGCCAAGCCACAUGAAGAUCAUCGAAGAAUAGAAGUACAAAACAGACAAGGACCUUCCUUUAGAACUGACAGAGACAGAGAGAGAGCCUUCCCCUUGAGCUGGCACCCUGAAUUCGGACUUCUAGCCUAUUAACUGUGAGAAAAUAAAUGUCUGUUUGUUAAAACCACCUACCUGUGGUAUUUCUGAUUACAGCAGCACUACAUAACUAAGACAGUAAAUCCAUCUUAAGCCAGGAAGAUUGGGGCGGGGAGGUGUUGCUUGUUAUUGCAGCAAAACCUACCCUAGGCUAACACAACUCUACAAACCACUGGCACUUUGCCUGGUCUCUCCCAGACAUCCAGCCCUGAAGAAACACCUAACUACUUCCCAGCUGUCUCUCCUUGGACAUCACAGGCCCCUUAGACAUACCUUGUUCCAAGCAGAUCUCAUCUGCAAUCCCCAAACCUGCCCCUCCUCUCCCCAAUUCUUCAAGCCGGAAACUUGAUCCUUGUCCUUAAUUCCUCCUAGCCCCUCCACAUUAGCUCGGUCAUGAAGUCCUGCUCUUUCUGCAUCCUCCAACUCUCUGUGAUCCAUCCACUUCCCUAAAUCCAAAGCCCAGCCCCAGUUCAGCCUCCUCACUUAUCUUCCAGCCUCCAGGCUUGCCAUUAUUUCCACGCCAGCCACCCAAGCUGCAUUCUUUAUGAUACACGUCAUUUAAAAGAUUUACCUAAAAUAGCCCCUUCAGAAUCAUUUAUAAACACCGUGUACCAGUCACCAGAUAAAGAAAACUUUGCAAAUACAACUGAAGUGCCUGCCUACAUUUUCCUCCUUCCUCCUCCCCCAAAGAGGUAAUUGCAUGCCUGGGCUAGUGUUUCUCAUUUUCAUAUCUUCCAAAUCUAGUCAGUCUGUCAAACUGUGGUGGCUUGUGUGUUUCUGCGAUACCGAAAGCCACUAGUAUAAAUGCCACUGGUAUGUCAGAUACCAGCAGGGUCAACCAUGCUGGACAGGUUUCAGUGGAGUUUCCAAACUAAGACAGACUAAGAAGAAAGGCCUGGAGAUCUAUUUCUGAAAAUCAGCGAAUGAAUAUUGUCUGAUACAGUGCUGGUGGAUAAGCCCCCUAGGCUGGAAGGCACUCAAAAUACACAAUGGCCACAACAAUGGACUUGAGCUUACCAAGGAUUAUAAAGAUGGCACGGGACUGGGCAACACUUUGUUCUGUUGUACAUGGGGUCACCAUGAGUCAGAACCAACCCGAUGGCAACUAACAAGAGACAACAGAUCUAGUCUUGAGGGUUAUAAACUUUAAAUGUGUGGUACCAUAUGGUAGGUUUCCUUCUGUAAUUUUCUUUUUCAUGCUAUAAAAGGUUUUACAGCUUCAUACAUGAUAUGUCUAACUUUGGCCUGUUCCUUUUUCCUCGCUGUAUAGUAUUCCAGUCUUGAACCAUACUAUAAUUUAUGUGCAUCUUCCCACUGAUGUACUGGGAUAAAUGCAGCAACUCUAAACAUUCCUGUAUGCAUCCCCUGGAUCACAUGAGUGGUGUGUCUCUACGGCGUGUUUCUAGGAGUGGAACUGCUUGGCCUCAAGGAACGGACAUUUUAAUUCAAUUGAAAAAAUCCAGUUCAUUGCUGUGGAGUUGAUUCUGACUCGCAGUGACCCUACAGGACAGAGUAUAGAACUACCCCAUCGGGUUUCCAAGGUGGUAAUCUUUACUGAAGUAGACUUCGGCAUCUUUCUCCUGAGGAGUGGCUGGUGAGUUCGAACCACUGACCUUUUGGUCAGCAGCCAGGUGCUUAACAACUGCACCAUCAGGGAUCCUUUCAAUGCAAUUAGAUAAUGUCAAGCUGCUCUCCAAAGUUGCGGCAUUCAACUGUACUGGCCCCCCGCAGGAGAAUGUCUCCCUUGUGACAGAACUUCCUGAAGAGCCAAUCUCACUCUUGGCCUUAAACUUUCCAUUGUUCCCCACUGAACCCUGAGAAAGCCCAACCCCCUCAGCGGACAGUAAUCAUUAUCUGGCCCCUCCCAGUUAUGCUAAGGUUUCAGUUCUUACUUCCUCUUCCAAACUCUCAAAAUCAACACUCUAAGGUCUUUUGCUUCCUCAAACAGGACAUGUCCUCUGGGCCCUUUGUACCCAUCAGAACCUCUGUCUGGCAUGUAUCAUAACACCUGGCAUACCCGUCAAGUCUUUUAAGAGCCAGCCAUUGUGGGGAGGUAAGCUGAGAAGGCUUUCCAGAAGGAAGGAUAUGUAAGCAAAGUCCCCUGCGAGAGACCUUCCCCUCCUCUGGUAAUUAAGUUGUACGUCUGAGCACAUCUACUGCAGGCUCUCUAAGCUCUUCCACGCAGCUGGUUCCCCACGGCCCUCAGGAGAACAUUUAAACUCUAAACUCCUCAACUAUUAGUCUCUACUCAUCUAGAGCAAGAGAAUAAAGGAAAUCAAAGACUCAAAGAAGAAACUAGUCCACAGGAUUAAUAACC